rnacentral:rRNA from 1 species
UACGUAGGGGGCAAGCGUUGUCCGGAAUCAUUGGGCGUAAAGCGCGUGUAGGCGGCUUGGUCAGUCUGGCGUGAAACCUUGGGGCUUAACCCCAAGCCUGCGCUGGAUACUGCCUCGCUCGAGUCCGGGAGAGGGAAGCGGAAUUCCCAGUGUAGCGGUGAAAUGCGCAGAUAUUGGGAAGAACACCGGUGGCGAAGGCGGCUUCCUGGAACGGUACUGACGCUGAGACGCGAAAGCGUGGGGAGCGAACAGG